CUGGGACUCCUCCAGUGCCGUGUCUGGAAUGUGCUGGAAUGUGCUGAGGUCACAGGGGACCCAAGGGGAUGCCUGCAUGUGGCGCUCAACACAGCUUGGAUUCUUUGAGUGGGCUGAGGAACACCUCCACUGGGCAUUCCUUAUGUCUGGAGUAAGAGGUCCCAGGCUUCCUGUACUUCAUCUUCAUGAUUUCACUUCAAUUUCCAUUUCUGUUGUGAUACUGUGAAUGUGUGUGAAUCCCACUGCAAAACACAGCAGGCUGACUUGUGCAGAAGUGCAGGAGAGCUCGGUGGCAGCAGCGUGUGACUUCCCAAGGCACUGCUUGGCAGAGCAGGUUUGGGAUUUAGGGACAGCAGGGGUGGUUUGUGACAGAGCUGGGCUUUGCCUGCUGGCUGUCCCUUGACUGCUUGGAGCAGGGAGUGUCUCAGAGCUGGAUUGCUGCAGGUGGGAACCCCCAAAGGUUCUGAGAGCAGCUUGGUGGUACCCCUCACGAACCAACAAGCACUGGCACCGUGAGAGCUGCUCUGGUGGCACUGACAAGCACCCCCACCCAAAAAGUGUCUGCUUCCACUCUGUGUCAGGAAUAAUGGGGCCAGCAGGAGCAGGGAGGUCAUUCUUCCCCUGUACUCAGCACUGGUGAGGGCACACCUCGAGUGCUGUGUCCAGUUCUGGCCCCUCAGCUUGGGAAGGACACUGAGAUGUUUGAGCAUGUCCAGAGGAGGCUGGAGAGGGGCUGGGAACACAAACCCUGUGAGGAACCACUGAGGGAGCUGGGGGUGCUCAGCCUGGAGAAAAGGAGACUCAGGGUGACCCCAUCACUCUGUACAGCUCCUGAAAGGUGCCUGUGGCCAGGUGGGGUUGGGCUCUUUCUCCAGGAACUGACAGAACCAGAGCACACAGCCUCCAGCUGCAUCAAGGGGAACAUAGAUUGGAUAUUAGGAAAAAGUUUUUUACAGAAAGGGUGAUAAAGCUGGAAUGGCUGCCCAGGGAGGUGGUGGAGUCACCAUCCCUGGGUGUGUUUAACAAAGCCUGGAUGUGGCACUGGGUGCCAGGGUUGAGUUGAGGUGUUGGGGCUGGGUUGGACUCAAUGAUCUUUCAGGUCUCUUCCAACCUGGGGAUUCUGUGAAUUCUGUAAACGACUGGCAAAAUGGCACAUACACCUGCAAAAUUGGAUGAUCUCCUUUGGGUCAAAAGGAAAUGGAAAUAGAUGGGAAACAGGAAGAGUCAGACACUAAGAACAUCAGUAGAGUCUGGAAUAAUAAAUUAGCAGAUUACAGGCUAUCAAUCCACAUGUCUAGGCUGUGCCUGUGUCAAAAGCACAAACACAUUUGCUCAUUAAGCCCAAAUCAUGUUCACAAUUAUUUUUCAAAGCAUUUUCAAGAAAGUAACAGUAAUUAAUAAUCUUUAGUGUUUGUUCAAGUGCCUGUCAUGCUGAGGUUUCCUGGCCCAACCCUGCUCUGGGUGGAUGCUCCUGACGUGUGGAAUGCAUUGCUGGAACCCUCUUGGGCAAAGCACAGCACACACACCCGUCAGAGGGGCAGAGCUGGCCCUGCCUGUGCCUGUGCCAGUGCCAGUGCCAGUGCCAGUGCCAGUGCCAGUGUGCUCCCAGAGAGCUGACACCAUGAGGUAGGAGGCUAUUUAUGGCUCUGUCUGCCUCGGGGAGUGUGCUUGAAAUUAAGAUGGUGCUGAUGAAUGGAAAAA